rnacentral:rRNA from 1 species
GAUGAACGCUGGCGGCGUGCCUAAUACAUGCAAGUCGAGCGAACGGACGAGAAGCUUGCUUCUCUGAUGUUAGCGGCGGACGGGUGAGUAACACGUGGAUAACCUACCUAUAAGACUGGGAUAACUUCGGGAAACCGGAGCUAAUACCGGAUAAUAUUUUGAACCGCAUGGUUCAAAAGUGAAAGACGGUCUUGCUGUCACUUAUAGAUGGAUCCGCGCUGCAUUAGCUAGUUGGUAAGGUAACGGCUUACCAAGGCAACGAUGCAUAGCCGACCUGAGAGGGUGAUCGGCCACACUGGAACUGAGACACGGUCCAGACUCCUACGGGAGGCAGCAGUAGGGAAUCUUCCGCAAUGGACGAAAGCCUGACGGAGCAACGCCGCGUGAGUGAUAAAGGUCUUCGGAUCGUAAAACUCUGUUAUUAGGGAAGAACAUAUGUGUAAGUAACUGUGCACAUCUUGACGGUACCUAAUCAGAAAGCCACGGCUAACUACGUG